UGUGUGCCAGGAGCCAUGCUACCUCUAUGAACACCGCCUCUUUUGUCAUACCAUCUUGAGAAAAUACGUGUUAUGAUUCCCACUCUAGAUGAAGAAACUGAAGCCCAGAGAGAGACUAAAGAACUUACCAAGAUCAUGCGGCCAAUACGGGACAGAGUCAGGGCUUGAGCCAACUCCAGAAUCCAUACCAGAAUCACUUUUCAGCAGAUUGUUUCCAAUCAUGCGGACACAGCCCAAGUUGCCAAGUACGGUGGUUCCUGUUCCCUGCAAUCCAGCGAGGAGCCCAGCUGACUCACCACAUGCCACCAGCCAUGAGACCGGGCUUCAUCACAUCCGCCUCUGGGUGCAGAACACUCUGCUGCAGACAUGGAAAUAACAGAUGCUGGGAGACAGACACACAGACAUGCACACCAUAUCAGAUUAGGUUGCUUGGAUGAAAGUUACCUGUUCAAAACACACCCACUGCCUUCACAGAGGUUAUAUACGGUGCCCUCGGUGCCCUUGAUCCCUGGGCUGGGAAGAUCCCCUCGAGGAGGAAAUGGCAACACACGCCAAUAUUCUUGCCAGAAACAUUCCCAUGGGCAGAGGAGCCUGCUGGGCUCCAUCCCCUGGGGUUGCACGGAGUCCUCUGUAAUCCACGUCUGACUCCUUGCUUUCCCACUAAGGAAGCAAACCGAAAGGCCAGUAAAAGGACAUUAUGAUAAGCACUCUUUUAAAUCUUCUCUAUUUCACAAAUAAAAC
rnacentral:lncRNA from 1 species